rnacentral:rRNA from 1 species
AUUGAACGCUGGCGGCAGGCCUAACACAUGCAAGUCGAGCGGAUGAGUGGAGCUUGCUCCAUGAUUCAGCGGCGGACGGGUGAGUAAUGCCUAGGAAUCUGCCUGGUAGUGGGGGACAACGUUUCAAAAGGAACGCUAAUACCGCAUACGUCCUACGGGAGAAAGCAGGGGACCUUCGGGCCUUGCGCUAUCAGAUGAGCCUAGGUCGGAUUAGCUAGUAGGUGAGGUAAAGGCUCACCUAGGCGACGAUCCGUAACUGGUCUGAGAGGAUGAUCAGUCACACUGGAACUGAGACACGGUCCAGACUCCUACGGGAGGCAGCAGUGGGGAAUAUUGGACAAUGGGCGAAAGCCUGACCCAGCCAUGCCGCGUGUGUGAAGAAGGUCUUCGGAUUGUAAAGCACUUUAAGUUGGGAGGAAGGGCAGUAAGUUAAUACCUUGCUGUUUUGACGUUACCAACAGAAUAAGCACCGGCUAACUUCGUGCCAGCAGCCGCCGUAA